AUUGAACGCUGGCGGCAUGCCUUACACAUGCAAGUCGAACGGUAACAGGUCUUCGGAUGCUGACGAGUGGCGAACGGGUGAGUAAUGCAUCGGAACGUGCCCAGUAGUGGGGGAUAGCCCGGCGAAAGCCGGAUUAAUACCGCAUACGACCUGAGGGUGAAAGGGGGGGAUCGCAAGACCUCUCGCUAUUGGAGCGGCCGAUGUCAGAUUAGCUAGUUGGUGGGGUAAAGGCCUACCAAGGCAACGAUCUGUAGUUGGUCUGAGAGGAUGAUCAGCCACACUGGGACUGAGACACGGCCCAGACUCCUACGGGAGGCAGCAGUGGGGAAUAUUGGUCAAUGGGCGAAAGCCUGAACCAGCAAUGCCGCGUGAGUGAUGAAGGCCUUCGGGUUGUAAAGCUCUGUCGGGAGGGACGAAAAAGCAGGGGUAACGCUCUGACUUGACGGUACCUCCAAAGGAAGCACCGGCUAACUCUGUGCCAGCAGCCGCGGUAAAAC
rnacentral:rRNA from 1 species